UCCAGCGGGAACUUCGAAGAGAGACAACUCUGGCAGGGGCUGAGGAGGGAGCUACAGGCGAGGAGGUAUUGGCUUUAUCUGGAGCUGGAGCACGGAGGGGGAAUAAAGGGGGAGAGGCAGGAGCUGCAGAGGAGCUAUGAAGGAGGCACAGAAGGAGGCGUCCUGGUUGACCAAACCGCUCUGAGAAGUAGUAGCAGAGGUCUGAAGGUCAUCAUGGGGGUCAGGGGUGACCUCGAUCAGUGUGGGAGUUUUAGGGUAAGCCUCUGCCUCAGAGCUGGGGCUGUGAGAUCUGAAUGAAGAUGAGCUACUUUUUUGAUCACGGCAAACCUGAGAACAACUAUGAACGCUAUUACAAUAACCUGAUUUCUUCUCACCAAGUGCAUACUGCUGCUCGUAGAUGUUGGAAUGCAAGUCCAUAGUGUCACAAAGUGUCUGUUUGACAGCAGUGCUGUUUGGGCUCUGUCCUUCAACUAAGCUCGCCUCGGACGAACAUGGACUUCUGGCUUCAUUAGAUGAAGUGAAGGGAAGUUUUCUGCUUUUAUCCAAAAGGUGGCAACGUUCGGGUUUACUCUGCUGGCCUAAAUCACAUUUACCAGCCUGAUUUAAAGUCUGCCCUUGCUUUUGUCUCUCAUCAAAAAGUUGUCUGAUUUUGGUCACACUGGGCCAUUUAUCAGAAUGCAAUGAAAUAAAUUCAUUGCAAUGCGUAGAUAGGUAGGUUCUGUGAGCUUUACAAGUUCCACGAAUCGUGACGUCCUCUUCAUCCUUGAUAAUACAAGUUUUGGGGGGAUCAGAUACGCAACAAGAUUCUUUCUUACCAGUGUUGUCGUUCGUUGUUAUUGCACAAGUCCGCCUUUUACUUCUCUCAGAGUCCGACCCAGACACAGAGUCCGUGCUGGAGUUAAACUUUUGCACUUUGUCCAAAAAAGCCUUGUUGUCCGGGAAGAAUGUUGCAACGCCGUCCUGGUGCAAUGACAGCCGAGACAGAGAACUGCUCCUCCUGGAGGCUCUGACGCGGGGAAGUGUGCUGCCCCGACGCGACACCGCUGCAAGGUCUCCCGGCCAGGCGUUGUGGGUCCUCUCGGAGCCUCCUCCUCCCCCACUUCUACCACUCCUGCUCCAGCUGAAUUUCUCGGCUCCAGCGGAAGAGAGCCACCGGCUGCCUCCAAAUCUUCACUUUUUUCUUCUUGCUCCUCACUUUUGUUGGCGCCCCACGAGUUCUUAAAAGAGACGCUGCGGUACACCGGUGCACUCCUCUUGUGUCUCUCUGCCAUUGUUCAUAGUUGUCUUUGUUGUGUCAUGCUGCACGCUGCAUCCUUUUUGAAUAAAAAUCCAUUUGCACCUCGCAGCCUAAACGAAACAACUUGGAUCCAAUUCUCAAAAACACAGGUUGCUCCGUUGUUGUUAAAACUCACAUGUUGGCGAUUCCAUAGUCGAACUUUUUUUGUGCUCACCAACGCUUAAUUGUUGGCUAAACGUGUGCCCAUUAAGAUGGUCACCCUCGCAUCUCUGCUCUUUCCCCAAAACUGUUUGUGGAUCCCUAUUUAGGGAUUAUUUGGAUUUCCGUGACUUGUGUUGUUUUUUGUACAUGUUAAUGCCUGAGAUAGGGCAAAAGGGAGUGGGCGGGACUAGGGGAUAGGGGCUGUCAUAACCCCCUCGGGGAUAGAGAGGAAACCCCCCCACGCCCCCACCCAACUAACUGUUUUUGAUAAGAAGGGACUGGAUGCACUGCAGUAACCGCAGAAGCAUUGCGCUAAUUGGCAGAACAAAGCCAACACUGUCCAUUUUUUGCUUCAAUCAACAGUAAAUCCGUGCAUCUCUUUUGUGCACCACUCCAGGUAAACAUAUCUGCAGCUCAAAGAUGAUUGUGUUAAAUUGGCAGCCUUCACGAUCCCUUUUCACUCCUCCACAAUAAGGCCUCUGUGGUACACCCCAUAACGGUGUCUACUUUACGCAGUGUUUUGUUCUGAAGGGGAAUUUACACACUGUCACCUGGUUAACUAGGCCUAUAUAGACCUCUACAGGCUAAUCUUGACCAUGACAGAGAGAUUAAAAAAAAAAAAUGCUCAUAUUAUGAGCAAUUUUUUUUAUUUAUUAUGAGCCUCAUAAUAAAUAAAAAAAUCCAAGUGACAGGUUUAACCAGUGCGCCAAGAUCCCCCAAAACCUUUCACAAAUAAAACAAUAGCAUCAUAUUUAACUCCCUUAAAACAAAAAUAGAAUUCUAUUGCUGAUGCUAGCUCAAGGUUAUUCCAUGUUAUACAUAGUAUAGGCUGUUUUGGCACUGUU